GUCAUAUCACGUUGAAAUACCGGUUUUCGUACGAUCACCGAAGUCAAGAAACGUCGAGCCUGGUUCAUACCAAGAUGGGCGACCGCUUGGGAAUACCAGGUGUUGUAA